UCGGGAAUCUUGCACAAUGGGCGAAAGCCUGAUGCAGCAACGCCGUGUGAGCGAGGAAGGCCUUAGGGUCGUAAAGCUCUGUUGUUGGGGACGAAGGGCGAAGGGUUAAUAGCCCCUAGCCUGACGGUACCCUUCGAGGAAGCCCCGGCUAACUACGUGCCAGCAGCCGCGGUAAUACGGAGGGGGCAAGCGUUGUUCGGAUUUACUGGGCGUAAAGGGCGCGUAGGCGGGGUAUCCAGUUAGGGGUGAAAGCCCGGGGCUCAACCUCGGAACUGCCUUUAAAACUGAUACUCUAGAGUCCGGAAGAGGGUCGCGGAAUUCCCAGUGUAGAGGUGAAAUUCGUAGAUAUUGGGAAGAACACCGGUGGCGAAGGCGGCGACCUGGUCCGGUACUGACGCUGAGGCGCGAAAGCGUGGGGAGCAAACAGGAUUAGAUACCCCCGUAGUCC
rnacentral:rRNA from 1 species